rnacentral:rRNA from 1 species
CGCACGGGUGAGUAACACGUAGGUAAUGUACCUUUGGGUGGGGGAAUAACUUAGGGAAACUUAAGCUAAUACCGCAUAAUGCAGCGGCUCCUUCGGGAGACAGUUGUUAAAGAUUUAUCGCCUAAAGAGCAGCCUGCGGCAGAUUAGCUAGUUGGUAAGGUAACGGCUUACCAAGGCUACGAUCUGUAUCCGACCUGAGAGGGUGGUCGGACACACUGACACUGAAUAACGGGUCAG